CAGGAUGGACCCGCGUCUGAUUAGCUAGUUGGUAAGGUAACGGCUUACCAAGGCGACGAUCAGUAGCCGACCUGAGAGGGUGAUCGGCCACAUUGGAACUGAGACACGGUCCAAACUCCUACGGGAGGCAGCAGUGGGGAAUAUUGCACAAUGGGCGAAAGCCUGAUGCAGCAACGCCGCGUGAGUGAUGAAGGCCUUCGGGUCGUAAAACUCUGUCCUCAAGGAAGAUAAUGACGGUACUUGAGGAGGAAGCCCCGGCUAACUACGUGCCAGCAGCCGCGGUAAUACGUAGGGGGCUAGCGUUAUCCGGAUUUACUGGGCGUAAAGGGUGCGUAGGCGGUCUUUCAAGUCAGGAGUGAAAGGCUACGGCUCAACCGUAGUAAGCUCUUGAAACUGGGAGACUUGAGUGCAGGAGAGGAGAGUGGAAUUCCUAGUGUAGCGGUGAAAUGCGUAGAUAUUAGGAGGAACACCAGUUGCGAAGGCGGCUCUCUGGACUGUAACUGACGCUGAGGCACGAAAGCGUGGGGAGCAAACAGGAUUAGAUACCCUGGUAGUCCACGCUGUAAAC
rnacentral:rRNA from 1 species